GUCGCUUUUGCUCACUUGGGAGAGCGUAAGUCAAACAACAAUUGAGAACUUGGAUUAUUCUAACAAUUUCUAGGCCAGACUGAAGACCACUUCGGUUGUACACCUGUGCGGUAUCUGGAGGUACUGUGAUCGAUCCACAGAAGCGACA